AGGAUGAACGCUGGCGGCGUGCCUAACACAUGCAAGUCGAACGUCCUGUCUCGCAAGAGGCAGGGAGUGGCGGACGGGUGAGUACCACGUGGGUUAUCUACCGUGAGGUGAGGAAUACCGGCGAGAAAUCGCCGACAAGACCGCAUAGCCUCGGUGCAAGUCGAGGAAAGCUCUCUCGAGAGAGGGAGCGCCACACGAGGAGCCUGCGCCCGAUUAGCUAGCUGGUGGAGUAAUGGUUCACCAGGGCGACGAUCGGUAGCUGGUCUGAGAGGACGAUCAGCCACACUGGGAUUGAGAACGGCCCAGACUCCUACGGGGGGCAGCAGUGAGGAAUUUUCGCAAUGGGGGCAACCCUGAACGAGCAAACGCCGCGUGCAGGAAGAAGGUUUUCGGAUCGUAAACUGCUUUUCUCGGGGAAGAGAACGGACGGUACCCGAGGAAUCAGCCCCGGCUAACUACGUGCCAGCAGCCGC
rnacentral:rRNA from 1 species